CUUGUAGAAACGCAACAGCGCCCCCUCUGGUCACAAAAUGUGUAACACCUGUUUAGAGUCUACGGAGAGUUGGGGACUACCAGACUACCGGAACAGAAAAAGACGUUCCUGCAGCAAAUUUCGACACAGUCGACAUCAGGAAUCACAGGAAAAUUCAGCAGAAAAAUUGUUCCAUACAACAGACUUGGAAAGUGAGUGGAAAUGUAAAGAGAAAUCUGUGGAGAUGAAGAAGCGUCAGGCCUCGACUUCGCCUUCUGCAACCUGUCAUGGCAUCAGUGCGGCUUUUAGAUGUCUUCUCCACGGGGAGUAAAUCAGAGCAGCUUUGCCGUCAGGGAGUGAGAGAAAGGGUUACCAUGGUGACCACGAUGAGCUGCCGCAAGAACAUGAAGUUGGUUACAGUUCACGGCUGCAGCACUUUGAGCUUAUUAAGAAAGCAGCUGCCGAAGCCUUCGACACGCCUUUUUAAAAGCGAAGUUAAAAGUCAAUAAUUUUUAAUGGAAAUUAGAAAUGCAAAGAUUUUGUUGUUGACUUCUCGAGAACAAAGAUGUUUGUGUAACUUUGCACAUCAAUCAGAUCCGAUCUCCAGCUCCUCUGCAUCGGUAAUUAUGCUUCCAGAGAAAUGCAUUGCUUUGUUUUUUUAUUCUUUGAAACUCUUGGUAUAAUUCUUACACGCUGCCUCCUCUGUAUGAUAAUAAGAUCCAAUUAAAAUCACUUCACAAAUCAA